AGAGUUUGAUCAUGGCUCAGAACGAACGCUGGCGGCGCGUUUUAAGCAUGCAAGUCGAACGGUAAUACGGUGCUUGCACCGUAUGAGAGUGGCGAACGGGUGAGUAACACGUAGGUGAUCUAUCUUGUGGUCUGGGAUAGCUUGUGGAAACACAGGGUAAUACCGGAUGAGAGCUGUAUUUUACGGAGUACAGGGGAAAGCCGCUUAGGCGGUGCCAUAAGCUGAGCCUGCGUCUCAUUAGUUAGUUGGUAGGGUAAUGGCCUACCAAGGCGACGAUGGAUAGCCGGCCUGAGAGGGGGAUCGGCCACACUGGGACUGAGACACGGCCCAGACUCCUACGGGAGGCAGCAGCUAAGAAUCUUCCGCAAUGGGGGAAACCCUGACGGAGCGACGCCGCGUGGACGAUGAAGGCCGGAAGGUUGUAAAGUCCUUUUCCUGGGGGAGAAUAACGGCCGGAGGGCAUGCCGGUCAGAUGACGUGAGCCAGGGAAUAAGCCCCGGCUAAUUACGUGCCAGCAGCCGCGGUAACACGUAAGGGGCAAGCGUUGUUCGGAUUUAUUGGGCGUAAAGGGCGUGUAGGCGGAUUGCCAAGCCUGGUGUGAAAGAUCUCAGCUCAACUGAGGGAACGCACUGGGAACUGGCAAACUAGAAUCUAGGAGGGGAAACUGGAAUUUCAGGUGUAGGGGUGAAAUCUGUAGAUAUCUGAAAGAACACCGGUGGCGAAGGCGAGUUUCUGGCCAUAGAUUGACGCUGAGGCGCGAAAGCGUGGGGAGCGAACAGGAUUAGAUACCCUGGUAGUCCACGCUGUAAACGAUGUGCACUAGGUGUUGGUGGUAUAACCAUCAGUGCCGUAGCUAACGCGUUAAGUGCACCGCCUGGGGAGUAUGCUCGCAAGGGUGAAACUCAAAGGAAUUGACGGGGGCCCGCACAAGCGGUGGAGCAUGUGGUUUAAUUCGACGAUACGCGAGAAACCUUACCAGGGCUUGACAUAAACAGGACGGUUGUAGAGAUACAGCUUCCCUUCGGGGCAUGUUUACAGGUGCUGCAUGGCUGUCGUCAGCUCGUGCUGUGAAGUGUUGGGUUAAGUCCCGCAACGAGCGCAACCCCUGCUGUCUGUUGCCAACAGGUAAUGCUGGGGACUCAGACGGUACUGCCGGUGACAAACCGGAGGAAGGUGGGGACGACGUCAAGUCAUCAUGGCCCUUAUGUCCUGGGCUACACACGUGCUACAAUGGCCGGUACAGAGCGACGCGAAACCGCGAGGUGGUGCAAAUCGCAGAAAACCGGUCCCAGUUCGGAUUGAAGUCUGAAACCCGACUUCAUGAAGGUGGAAUCGCUAGUAAUCGCGCAUCAGCAUGGCGCGGUGAAUAUGUUCCCGGGCCUUGUACACACCGCCCGUCACACCACCCGAGUUGGGGGUACCCGAAGUCGCUAGUCUAACCCGUAAGGGGGGACGGCGCCGAAGGUAUGCCUGGUAAGGGGGGUGAAGUCGUAACAAGGUAACC
rnacentral:rRNA from 1 species